rnacentral:rRNA from 1 species
CCUACGGGGGGCAGCAGUGGGGAAUAUUGGACAAUGGGCGAAAGCCUGAUCCAGCCAUGCCGCGUGUGUGAAGAAGGCCUUCGGGUUGUAAAGCACUUUCAGUGGGGAAGAAAGCCUUGGGGCUAAUACCCUCGAGGAAGGACAUCACCCACAGAAGAAGCACCGGCUAACUCCGUGCCAGCAGCCGCGGUAAUACGGAGGGUGCGAGCGUUAAUCGGAAUUACUGGGCGUAAAGCGCGCGUAGGCGGUCUGAUAAGCCGGUUGUGAAAGCCCCGGGCUCAACCUGGGAACGGCAUCCGGAACUGUCAGGCUAGAGUGCAGGAGAGGAAAGUAGAAUUCCCGGUGUAGCGGUGAAAUGCGUAGAGAUCGGGAGGAAUACCAGUGGCGAAGGCGGCCUUCUGGACUGACACUGACGCUGAGGUGCGAAAGCGUGGGUAGCAAACAGGAUUAGAUACCCCAGUAGUC